ACGAUUGGGAAACUCAUCAAUUAUUUUUGAAAUACCGAGACAAGCUUCGUCGCCCAAUGGCGGGCCUCAUUCCUCUUCGGAGGAAGGCAUAAUUGCCCGGAGGAUUACAAAGGACGGCAAGCACUCAAAUCCUGUCAUUCGGAGUUUCAUCAUCUUC
rnacentral:sRNA from 1 species